AUUGGGGGGGGCCUACACAUGCAGUCGAGCGGUAGCACAGAGAGCUUGCUCUCGGGUGACGAGCGGCGGACGGGUGAGUAAUGUCUGGGAAACUGCCUGAUGGAGGGGGAUAACUACUGGAAACGGUAGCUAAUACCGCAUAACGUCGCAAGACCAAAGUGGGGGACCUUCGGGCCUCAUGCCAUCAGAUGUGCCCAGAUGGGAUUAGCUGGUAGGUGGGGUAACGGCUCACCUAGGCGACGAUCCCUAGCUGGUCUGAGAGGAUGACCAGCCACACUGGAACUGAGACACGGUCCAGACUCCUACGGGAGGCAGCAGUGGGGAAUAUUGCACAAUGGGCGCAAGCCUGAUGCAGCCAUGCCGCGUGUGUGAAGAAGGCCUUCGGGUUGUAAAGCACUUUCAGCGGGGAGGAAGGCGGUGAGGUUAAUAACCUCGUCGAUUGACGUUACCCGCAGAAGAAGCACCGGCUAACUCCGUGCCAGCAGCCGCGGUAAUACGGAGGGUGCAAGCGUUAAUCGGAAUUACUGGGCGUAAAGCGCACGCAGGCGGUCUGUCAAGUCGGAUGUGAAAUCCCCGGGCUCAACCUGGGAACUGCAUUCGAAACUGGCAGGCUAGAGUCUUGUAGAGGGGGGGUAGAAUUCCAGGUGUAGCGGUGAAAUGCGUAGAGAUCUGGAGGAAUACCGGGUGGCGAAAGGCGGCCCCCUGGACAAAGACUGACGCUCAGGUGCGAAAGCGUGGGGAGCAAACAGGAUUAGAUACCUGGUAGUCACGCUGUAAACGAUGUCGAUUUGGAGGUGUGCCUUGAGCGUGCUUCGGAGCUACGCGUAAUCGACGCUGGGGAGUACGGCGCAGUAAACUCAAUGAAUGACGGGCCGAACAGCGGUGGAGCAUGUGGGUUUUAAUUCCGCAUGCGCACCACGCCGCG
rnacentral:rRNA from 1 species